rnacentral:rRNA from 1 species
AGGACGAACGCUGGCGGCGUGCCUAAUACAUGCAAGUCGAACGGUCUUUCUAUGGAAGCUUGCUUCCACUGAGAAGAUAGUGGCGAACGGGUGAGUAACACGUGGGUAACCUGCCCAUAAGAGGGGGGAUAACAUCCGGAAACGGGUGCUAAUACCGCAUAGUUUUCUUGAUCGCAUGAUUGAGAAAGGAAAGACGGCCUUUGUGCUGUCGCUUAUGGAUGGACCCGCGGCGUAUUAGUUAGUUGGUGAGGUAACGGCUCACCAAGACGAUGAUACGUAGCCGACCUGAGAGGGUGAUCGGCCACAUUGGGACUGAGACACGGCCCAAACUCCUACGGGAGGCAGCAGUAGGGAAUCUUCCGCAAUGGACGAAAGUCUGACGGAGCAACGCCGCGUGAGUGAAGAAAAGGUUUUCGGAUCGUAAAACUCUGUUGUCAGAGAAGAACAAGUUGGAGAGUAACUGCUCCAGCCUUGACGGUAUCUGACCAGAAAGCCACGGCUAACUACGUGCCAGCAGCCGC